GACGAACGCUGGCGGCGUGCUUAACACAUGCAAGUCGAACGAUGUCGCGAACUUGUGAGUAACGCGUAAUCAACUUGCCCUUCAGAGGGGGACAACAGUUGGACACGACUGCUAAUAUCGCAUCCUGAGGGCGGGGAGUGCGUCUGAUUCGCUAGUUGGAGGGGUACAGGCCCACCAAGGCGAUGAACAGUAGCCGGUCUGAGAGGAUGAACGGGCACAUUGGGACUGAGACACGGCCCAGACUCCUACGGGAGGCAGCAGUGGGGAAUCUUCCGCAAUGGACGAAAGUCUGACGGAGCAACGCCGCGUGAGUGAUGACGGCCUUCGGGUUGUAAAGCUCUGUUAAUCGGGACGCGGUACCGGAAUAGAAAGCCACGGCUAACUACGUGCCAGCAGCCGCGGUAAUAC
rnacentral:rRNA from 1 species